rnacentral:ncRNA from 1 species
AAUAUCCGGGGAGCUGGCCAUAGCCGGCUGAGAGGAGACUGUAUUCGUCUCGACCCAUUAUACCUGAUUUGGAUAAUGCCAACGUAGGGAUUCAUAU